UCAUCUUCGGGGGUAGAGCACUGUUUCGGCUAGGGGGUCAUCCCGACUUACCAACCCGAUGCAAACUACGAAUACCGAAGAAUGUUAUCACGGGAGACACACGGCGGGUGCUAACGUCCGUCGUGAAGAGGGAAACAACCCAGACCGCCAGCUAAGGUCCCAAAGUCAUGGUUAAGUGGGAAACGAUGUGGGAAGGCCCAGACAGCCAGGAUGUUGGCUUAGAAGCAGCCAUCAUUUAAAGAAAGCGUAAUAGCUCACUGGUCGAGUCGGCCUGCGCGGAAGAUGUAACGGGGCUAAACCAUGCACCGAAGCUGCGGCAGCGACACUAUGUGUUGUUGGGUAGGGGAGCGUUCUGUAAGCCGUUGAAGGUGGCCUGUGAGGGUUGCUGGAGGUAUCAGAAGUGCGAAUGCUGACAUAAGUAACGAUAAUGCGGGUGAAAAACCCGCACGCCGGAAGACCAAGGGUUCCUGUCCAACGUUAAUCGGGGCAGGGUGAGUCGACCCCUAAGGCGAGGCCGAAAGGCGUAGUCGAUGGGAAACAGGUUAAUAUUCCUGUACUUGGUGUUACUGCGAAGGGGGGACGGAGAAGGCUAUGUUGGCCGGGCGACGGUUGUCCCGGUUUAAGCAUGUAGGCGGAUGUUCCAGGUAAAUCCGGAACGUCAUUAACGCUGAGGUGUGAUGACGAGGCACUACGGUGCUGAAGUGACAAAUGCCCUGCUUCCAGGAAAAGCCUCUAAGCAUCAGGUAACAUCAAAUCGUACCCCAAACCGACACAGGUGGUCAGGUAGAGAAUACCAAGGCGCUUGAGAGAACUCGGGUGAAGGAACUAGGCAAAAUGGUGCCGUAACUUCGGGAGAAGGCACGCUGAUGGUAGGUGAAG
rnacentral:rRNA from 1 species